AAACCAACAGGGAUUGCCUCAGUAACGGCGAGUGAAGCGGCAACAGCUCAAAUUUGAAACCUGGCACCAGCCCGGAUUGUAAUUUGCAGAGGAUGCUUCGGAGUCGGCCCUGGUCUAAGUGCCUUGGAACAGGCCGUCGCAGAGGGUGAGAGUCCCGUACGCGGCCGGGUGCCUUCUCCGUGUGAAGCUCCUUCGACGAGUCGAGUUGUUUGGGAAUGCAGCUCUAAAUGGGAGGUAUAUUUCUUCUAAAGCUAAAUACCGGCCAGAGACCGAUAGCGCACAAGUAGAGUGAUCGAAAGAUGAAAAGCACUUUGGAAAGAGAGUUAAAAAGUACGUGAAAUUGUUGAAAGGGAAGCGUUUGCGGCCAGACUUGACGGCGGUUGCUCAGCCGGGCUUUGCCCGGUGUACUCUUCCGCCGCCAGGCCAGCAUCAGUUCGGGUGGCCGGAUAAAGGCCUGGGGAACGUAGCUCCUCGGAGUGUUAUAGCCCCUCGCACAAUACGGCCUACCGGGACUGAGGACAGCGUUCGCUCGGAUGCUGGCGUAAUGGCAGCCAACGGC
rnacentral:rRNA from 1 species